GUUACCAAACUGUUGCCUCGGCGGGAUCUCUGCCCCGGGUGCGUCGCAGCCCCGGACCAAGGCGCCCGCCGGAGGACCAACCAAAACUCUUUUUGUAUACCCCCUCGCGGGUUUUUUAUAAUCUGAGCCUUCUCGGCGCCUCUCGUAGGCGUUUCGAAAAUGAAUCAAAACUUUCAACAACGGAUCUCUUGGUUCUGGCAUCGAUGAAGAACGCAGCGAAAUGCGAUAAGUAAUGUGAAUUGCAGAAUUCAGUGAAUCAUCGAAUCUUUGAACGCACAUUGCGCCCGCCAGUAUUCUGGCGGGCAUGCCUGUCCGAGCGUCAUUUCAACCCUCGAACCCCUCCGGGGGGUCGGCGUUGGGGAUCGGCCCUCCCUUAGCGGGGGCCGUCUCCGAAAUACAGUGGCGGUCUCGCCGCAGCCUCUCCUGCGCAGUAGUUUGCACACUCGCCAUCAGGGAGCGCGGCGGUCCACAGCCGUUAAACACCCA
rnacentral:rRNA from 1 species